AGUGAACGCUGGCGGUAGGCCUAACACGUGCAAGUCGAACGGCAGCACAGUAAGAGCUUGCUCUUACGGGUGGCGAGUGGCGGACGGGUGAGGAAUACAUCGGAAUCUACUUUUUCGUGGGGGAUAACGUAGGGAAACUUACGCUAAUACCGCAUACGACCUACGGGUGAAAGCAGGGGAUCUUCGGACCUUGCGCGAUUGAAUGAGCCGAUGUCGGAUCAGCUAGUUGGCGGGGUAAAGGCCCACCAAGGCGACGAUCCGUAGCUGGUCUGAGAGGAUGAUCAGCCACACUGGAACUGAGACACGGUCCAGACUCCUACGGGAGGCAGCAGUGGGGAAUAUUGGACAAUGGGCGCAAGCCUGAUCCAGCCAUACCGCGUGGGUGAAGAAGGCCUUCGGGUUGUAAAGCCCUUUUGUUGGGAAAGAAAAGCAGCAGGUUAAUACCCCGCUGUUCUGACGGUACCCAAAGAAUAAGCACCGGCUAACUUCGUG
rnacentral:rRNA from 1 species